rnacentral:lncRNA from 1 species
GGACGACAUGAUUUAUGCUUAGUAAUAAUUGUCAAAAUCGAAGUGUGUUUUUAUAUGUGCAAGAUUAACUAUGAUACAAGGCAUAAAGCAAAAUGAAGUCCCGGAGUCAAGAACGUGAUUUCAUUGAGAGUUCGAGAGUUCAUUGGAAGUCCAGACGUUCAUCAGAAGUUCUGCCGGAACCUGUUGGGAAAUCUUGGGGCGACAUCACAUGCAUAG